rnacentral:rRNA from 1 species
UACGUAGGGGGCAAGCGUUGCCCGGAUUCAUUGGGCGUAAAGAGCGUGUAGGCGGCCAGGUAGGUCGGUUGUGAAAACUGGAGGCUCAACCUUCAGAGGUCGACCGAAACCAUCUGGCUAGAGUGCGGGAGAGGCGAGUGGAAUUCCUGGUGUAGCGGUGAAAUGCGCAGAUAUCAGGAGGAACACCAAUUGCGAAGGCAGCUCGCUGGAACGUAACUGACGCUGAGACGCGAAAGCGUGGGGAGCAAACAGG